AUGGAUUCUUACAGACCGCACCAGCAGCAGUACAUGAGGCCACCACCGCCACCACCACCACCACCGGCCACGUCGGAUCCCUACCACUACCAGCAGCAACAACAACCACCGCCUCCGCCAAGACCACCACUCCCUCAGCAGGGCGCGUGGUACUCGAACCCGAACCAGAACCAGUACCAGUACCACUCAUUACAGUCCCCGUCGCCUCCUCCACCGCAGCAGCAGCAGUGGGGCCCGCCACCUCACGCCGAACACCUACCUCCCCCGCCGGGCUCUUACGCUCCUCCACCGCCUUAUUACCAUCCUCAAUCUCGCCCUCACGGACCUCCUCCUCCUCCUCCUCCCCCUCCUCAGUCUUAUCAUCCUCAGCAGCUCAAUCAGGACUGGGGAGCUCAGAGUCGGCAAGUGCAUAACAAUGAACAAGAUUGGGCAGCCAAGGCUAGGGCAUGGGCAGCUAGGACGGCAAUGGAGAACCAGGAUCAGCAACCACAGUUUACUCCAGCUGGCAGACCAGAAGAACAAACUCAUUAUCAUGAGCAGUAUCCUCAAAAUCAGCUCCAGUCUCUAUCUGCAUCUAGUUAUCAACAGGUUCUGGUUUCAGGGACACCAACUCACCGCCCACCGGGAAUGCAUCCUCAGGACACGAACUUUAUCGGCUCUGAACCAUCUCCAUAUGGACAUCAUACUGUCAGAUCUGCAAUUCCAUCUGUUCAUCAGCAGGAGGUACCUUCUAGUUAUUCUUCUGUUCCAGGUCAGGAAGGACAACCUCAUAUGCAACAAGCAAUACCGUUCGGAUAUGGCAGUCAUUCUGCAGAUCCAGCAACCAAUCCUGCUGACCAGCCUUUAGAAUUUGCAUCUGGGUUUUCUUCUGAUCAUGGCGCUCACGCAUCCAGCUAUCCUUAUCAUGAUUCAGUUGGAAGUAUACGAGGUGUGGACCCUGCUACGGCAGUUCCUUCCAUGAAUUCUUGGACUGUUUCUGUUGCACCUGGUGUGGUGUAUCCUCCUACUCUUCCAGUUCUACCAUCAGGACCACAGCAUGAUCCUUCUAUGUCAAUACCCUCUCCGGUCCCUGGAAAUGCUCCACAUUCAUUUGGUAGUUUUCCUGGAUUGAGCCUCCAGCCAACAAUUCCAACCACUGGUCCUCCCUUUGCUCUCACUGCAGGAACUGCUGGUCAUCCUACUGUGGCCUUCCCUGGUGAUGCAUAUGGAGUUUCUAUGAUUUCUGAGCGCCCAAAGAAGGCUUCAGUGCCUAAUUGGCUUAGAGAAGAAAUUAAGAAAGUAAGCAUCACAAGUUCGACCAUGGACCAUCUCAAGGAGGAAACGCAGUCUGUUGAGGAUGAAGGUGUUGACAGAUCUUUUGGGAAGGGUGAUCAAGCCGAUAGCAAAAGCAUUGAUUCUUCUAGAUCAACUGAAGAAGAGGAUGAUGAGGUUACUGAUGAGCUCUUUGAUGAAAUUGCUACAAAAGUUCUUAGUGAAGAUGAUCUAACAUCUGAAGUUGGACAGGGCAGACUCCCAUCAAACCAUAAGGUGUUGCCAUCUUCCACAGUAGUUUCAGCUGGCAAGGCUUCUGCGAAGCUUGUAAUUCCCGCCAAGAGUGGGGAUUCUGAGACUGAAGAUGUCAGUGAAAAAUCUAGCUCCAGUACACCUGGCGAUAUAUUGGGUCUUGCAAAUUAUGCUACUGAUGAUGACGACGACGAUGAUGGAGGUGGUGAAAUUCCGAGUUCUGGUGACCCAAAAUCUGGGAAAGAUCAGUUUACUGUCAGAAACCCUCAUGAGUCGCAUGAUGCCACUACAAAUGGCAAUUCUCCAGUAGAGCUUGAAGAGCAUAGGAGAAGUCGAACAAGUUUGCCGAAUGAUCUGAGCAAGAGUGAUACUAGUUAUAAUAAAAACAAGAGUGGGGUAAGUAAUGUUGAACCUGAACUGCCCAUGGAAAAUGUUAAUGUCAAAAAGAUAGCAAAAGAUGACCCACAAAGUAGGGAGUCCAGGAUGAAACCAGAUAAGCAUGAUCGACAUGAUAGUAAAAGGAGUUCUUUGAAAGAAAAUAAGGAGAUAGAAAGUGGUAAGAUUAGGACAGACGAGAAAGGUGAUGAGAAUUGUAGGAGGCAUGAUGAGAGGCCUUUGAGAAAGGAAAGGACUGAUGAUCGCAAUGGUUCAAAAGAAAGGUUCAAAGACCAAAAUGUUAUGUCUGGAGAUAAAUCAAAGGAAUCUGAUUCAAGAAAAAGGUCAUCCCAUGCUGAUGUCCUGGAGGACAAAAGAGAAACAGAUAGACUCCAUAGAGAUAGUUCUAAAGCAGAUGUGAGCAGAAAAAGAGAACGAACAGAUAAUAAGGAGGAUGAUAGAUCAAGACAUAAAUAUUCUACUGACUCAAGCAGGCACAAGAGAAGGCACUCCUCUUCCAUUGACAGCAAGGACAACACCGUUAAUCAUGCCAAUCAUUCAAGUAAUGAAUCUUCUGAGGAUUCUAAAAGGAAGCUACAUUCAAGGAGACGUCACUCAUCACCUUCACCCGUCAGAUCUAGGAGAAGACAACUUUCGCGGUCUCCACAUAGCAAGCAUUCUCAGCGCAGGCAUUCUCCCUACUCUUCUCUUGAUAGCAACAGGUAUGCAUUUAAAUGCAGGGGGAAAGGGUCAAGGUCCAGAUCACCUGUGCGGCGACACGCAUUUCGAGGAGGAGUCUCGGGUUUAUGGUCAGUUUGGCUAUGUGGGUUUGCGUUGAUUGGUUUCUCCUUCUAUGCCACUCAGAGGCUACCUUCCCUCAAGGAUCAGAUCACGAGGUCAACUUCCAGUCAACGAGUUGCCGGCGUUUCAGAGCCGCCGAGAAUUAUUAUAUUCUCGGCGCCGAGGCCGUUUAGUGGUUCUGUUGGGGUUAGGCAGAGUUUGGCUCUUCGUUCAUGGCUAGCUUUGUCACCGGAGAUUAGAGUUGUGCUGUUCAGCAAAGACCCUUCUGUUGUUUCUUUCGCCGGAGGGCUUGGUUCUCGGGUUGUGGUGGAUCGCAGCAUUGAUUUCACGUUCCUCGGUACCCCAUUUUUUCAUUCGAUGAUGGCAAGAACAUGGUCUUUUUCACCAGACAUAUCUGUUCUGGUUGAUCCAGAAACAAUUGUUUUACCUGACUUCAUUUCCACCCUGAAUUAUGCUUACAAUCUUGAUGAUGAUUGGCUUCUAGUUGCUUCAUCACAAAAUACUGAAAUUUUAAUGGUCCUUUCAAGAUAACUCUGUUGAUACUGUUCUCUCUUCCAUCAGUUGCAGGAGAUAAUCCGUCAGAGUUGGCAGCGAACUCCCUGUGAACAGAAACUGCUUAUGGCAUGGAAUAGUGGAGAUCUUGCCCUAUAUUCUGGAGUCCUUCCUCCUUUUUUGUAUGGUAGGGGGGUGCACAAUAGUUGGGUCACUAAUGAGGCCUUGUCAUCGGAGCUCAGGUUUGUGUUUGAUGCCAGUUGGACAAUCUCAAGCUUAUAUUUGAUUGGUGAGGGGCAUCUGAAUAACUGGACUGUUGGAGCUUCCAAUGCUUCCAUUUUUGAAAGAAGAAACUGGGAAUAUGCCGGAAACUUUCAUCUUGGUGCAUUAUAUGGGUCAUUGUCUCAUCAUGAAACUAAUUACUCUAGCCUAGUUAAACUUUUGAAAUGUGAUGGCCAAUAUAGUUUUGUUAACAAAACCGGAAACAUUUGUUCAUCUGCAUAUCGACGUGCUGGCUUGGGUUCCCGGUGGAAGAAGAAAAGUUUGGCUUUGGUUGAGGGUGUCAAAUCACAAGGCCAUUUAUUAGAUUGCACUCCCAUGGUUCCCACAACGAGUUCAGAACCAUUUGACUAUCCAUUUUCUUUGGAGACACUUCUAGAAUUAAACGCAGACAAAAAUAAGACAAUUGUGCUUGCUGCUGCUGGAUAUAGUUACAAGGACAUGCUAAUGAGCUGGGUGUGUCGAAUGCGCCACCUACAGAUCACAAAUUUUAUCAUUUGUGCCCUCGACCAGGAGAUCUACGAAUUCUCUGUCUUGAUGGGCCUGCCUGUGUUCCGGGAUCCAGUUGCUCCGAGUGAGAUAAGCUUCAAUGAUUGCCACUUCGGAACAAAAUGUUUUCAGAAGGUGACCAAAGUGAAGUCCAGAAUGGUUCUAAAGAUACUGAAGAUGGGUUACAGUGUACUGCUUAGUGAUGUGGAUGUAUAUUGGUUUGAAAAUCCAUUGGCAUUGCUCUCGUCUUUUGGUCCUGCUGUUCUUGCAGCUCAGUCGGAUGAAUUCAACAAAACAGGACCAAUCAACUUACCUAGACGCUUGAACUCUGGCUUCUACUUUGCCCGUUCAGAUAGUGCAACAAUUGCUGCUAUGAAGAAGGUGGUGGCACAUGCAGCAAGUUCGGGUCUAUCUGAACAGCCAAGCUUCUAUGACACACUAUGUGGAGAAGGGGGCUCCUAUCGUGUGGGUAACAAUAGAUGCUUAGAACCUGAAACAAACCUGACUGUCCAUUUCUUGGAUAGAGAUCUCUUCCCAAACGGGGCAUAUCUAGGCCUUUGGCAGAGAAAAAAUGUGAGAGCAGCCUGUGUGAAACAGGGAUGUUUGGUACUCCAUAACAAUUGGAUCAGUGGGAGGCUGAAGAAGCUAGAAAGACAGGUAUUAUCUGGCCUAUGGGACUUUGAUACUAGCACAAGGAUGUGUCAGCUCCUGCUUUCCUUAUCGUUGGACUACAGUACAGUGAGUACACAGUCCAAAAGUUUUCUUGUGAGGAUAGUUCAUGCAGGUGGGCAAGAGGAACUGUUUCUGAAUGCAGGCGUCUCUGCUGAUGGACAAGUAUCCUGGGAAAUGUGUUGCCCGCCCAGAUGUUUUCAAAAAGCCUCAGGAGUCCUUUUUAAGGCCAGAGGGGAGCCUAUUGCCUGGUCACAAGUAUUAUAUAACAGUAUGAUAACAUGUACAACAGUACAGAAAGUUGAGCGUAAACAACAGAAUAAGGUGAAGGCCAAAGAACAAGAUGAAGAAGAUGAAGAGAUGAUUCUGGGUGGAUAGAUCACUGCAGAUUCGUAAGGGGAAGAAAAGAGUUCAAAAUUUUCACGCAGGAGGGGAAUUAGAGGAAAGAAGUCGUUUGUACCUCCCCCUUCCAAAGGUUAGAUCAGGUAAAGGGUUCGGAUGGGAGCCUAAUCUCACGUCUGUACAAGAAGAAGUCUCUCCAUGACUUUCUGAUAUGGCUUUGAUAGUCUGAAACAUUUACUGCGACCGCAACAGUCGCCGCUAUCGAAUCCCUCGUUUCGGCAAAGAGAGACACAUCUGUCCCUAUCUCUAGUAUUCCGUGGAACUUUUUGUUACGAGUUUCGCGUGUUGGUGUAUAUUUUGGCAGCCAAAUUGUGUUUGCAUUUGGCAUUGUCCCUACAUUAAAAACACACAAAAAUAUCAUGUCUAUCUAGCUAGUAAUAGAGAUUAAUACAAUAAGCAAACAUCAGAAGAAUGUAGAUAAUCAUUAUACCAUUAGAAAUAGGAGACCGACGAAGAAAAUUGUAAACUUAU